CGCAAGGAAGAGACACAGCUCCUCCGUACGGGGCAGUGCCGAGCGCGGCUUCUGCAGCGGGAAAAGUGACGCGAGAGUGAGCACAGCCCGCAGCCCUUCAGCUGCACACGAGAAAAGCAGCGAGCUAGGGCGAGCCCUGAUGCCCCUGGUGCCCGUGACGCAACCGCCUUCCGUGCCUGCGCCGUGCUCCGGCGCCCCGGCGCUGGCGAGACGCCAUACGUCAUCGCCAGGCGCUGUCCGUUAUCCCUGGCCGUGACGUCACCGACGUCGAGCACCAAUCAGUGGCCGGGCUGAAAGAUCGCGGGGCCGUUGAUUUACGCGUCUUGGGAAGCGACCAAGAGACAGAGCCAAAAGUGCUACCACGGGUCCUAGAGGGGUCGGGGGAGACGGACCCAGAGCAAAUAAAGUAAACACAAGAGGGCGUUUCACGCCUUUGAUCCCCGCUCUGUACAGAGUCGAUAUCUGGUAGUAAAACCAAUACCGGGUAAUUAGACGUGCUGCUCUAAAACCGCAUCGAGGUACAGGAAAUACGAAGGGCCAUACACUCAAAACCAGGCGGCGAACUUGGCGCCGAGGAAUGGGAAAAGGUCCCCUAAACUCGUCUCUCUCCAGCCUAGGACGUGAACCCGUUCUGGGAUCGGCACUGGGGCGAAGAGGCGCGGCAACCCCCAGAGUCCCGCCCGGUGGGGGGGUCUGGGCUGUCAGACGGGAUCAGUGGAGGUGCCUCUGGGCUCUCCCAUCGCCGGUUUCUGUCCGGGGCUGUCUCGCCGUUCGCUGCACACGCAAACAUCGGCUCCGAAUCACACGGUGUUUUUAAGGAGGCUCUUUGAUCUGGCCAAGUGUCAGAGUCCCUAAAGUCGAGGCUCAAAUAACACGUCGUUACGGCAAACAAAUUUCUGCAGUCAGCUUUAUGGCUUUAUUGUC